GCCUCAGCCUCCCGAGUCCUGGGACUGCAGCCAGGUCACAGAGUCCAGACGCCUGGCGGGGACCACAGAGCACAGGAGAGCAGAGCAAGAGGGGCCAUCUGGAGACUUCACAGAGAACUGGGAUCCUGGCAAGAGACGGAGACACUCAGUUUCUUGUGCGGUCUUCCCUAGUCUCCAGAGUCCAGAGAGGCUUCCGCACCCCAACUCACCUUUGAGCACAGAGACAUCGUACACCCUCCAGUUCUGGUUUCCCCAGAUCUGAGACUGGCCUGUCUACUUGGAUCUGUGUCACCAAGAUGGUGGAGGAGCCUUCUGCGGGGCUGCGGAACCAGGGAACUGUAUAUAACUAGGCUCAUGGUGCCUCUGGGUCUCUCCAGGACUAAAAGCAAAGAGAAUUCAAACAAGCCCCGGUUUCAAGUCAUCCAGGUUGGCUUCAAAACCACUUUGGAGUUAGGGAUGACCUUGAACUCUGGACCCCCUACUUCUACCUCCCAAGGUGAGAAGAGGGGACAGGCAUGCAUCAU